GAAUAAUUAACCCUUCGCCUUGUACUUGAAAUAACUCCAUUUUGGCAAAGAUUCUCUAAAAUGUUCCAUGUAGACCGGUUUGGUGUGUGGACCGAUUGGUUUGGUGUACUCCCGGUUUGAUCUAGUUGUGAUGUUCGCAUACCCUCUCUCUUGAAAAAGUUUCAACCUCGAAACUGUACAAUGGGACGAAACCAUAUAACAUGCUCUGGUUUCAGGCCUUAGGAGAUGUAUGGGCUUUGGUCCAGAACCUCUUUGAUUAUUCAAAAAAAAAAAAGAACAAGUGCAUUAAUACAGUCAUGGGACCAAUAAAAACAUGUAAAAC
rnacentral:lncRNA from 1 species